UGAAAAAGCUCCUCCCUCGCACGCACCUUAAAAGAACAAAAUUUUGUGCAUUGAAUUUGAAUGAAACAAUGAUGAAGGACGUAAACUUGGCGCGGGGGGAGUGUUGAAGAGGAAGAAGAGAUCACCUGGAAGUGAAAUCCCAUAAAAUCAUAAAGCAACAAAAUGAACUUUUAGUGCCUUGAGAGACUUUCAAUUGAGUUGAACUCCAAAGAGAAAGAGAGAGAGAGGCCUUUUUAGCGCACGCACACCCACCCACCCCCAGACCCUUAAAUGGCAUCCGCUAAAAAGCCCAUGAAAAGGCACCCCCACAACACGCAGCAGUGUCUUCCACCCUCAAUUGCCGGAAACGGUAAUAUAAUGAAAUCAGAAAAGCAUUUUAUGUGCCAUCUUCACAUCCUUGACGGUUUGUAUGCGAGGGGUGGGUGUAUUUGCCAUCAUCAUGCUUCUGUCCGCCGCACCUGAGUACUCUCAUCACUUUUCUUUUGAUGUUUCCACCAGCCAAAGAGGGUGGUGGUUGGUUGCUGCUCUUGAGGGGGAUACAUUUUAAAAGAACAAAUCAAAUAGAAGGCGAUUAAAUGAAAUUAUGCGAUGAUGGGAGCAAAGUAAUACAAAAACCUCCCACCCACCCCCACAUGGACGUAUUUUCCUGUCCGUUGUUGACCUAAUUUUAAUGGUGUAGUAGUGAAAGGAGGGUCAAUAUCUUUGCCAUCUCUCUGCGUAUACAAACAGGAAGCAUUUUGGGGAUAAUUUUGAUUGAGGCUUGAAAGGAAGUUAUUAUAAUCUAUAAAUUAAAUUUUUGGGGUUUCUGGUCAGCUUAAGAGGGUAUAAAAUAACUCAUAAUAAAUUAUGAUUUGCUGUUGAUGUUAUUUGUUGGCUUUAUGUUGUGUGAAGAAACAUUUUGCCCUUUUCAGUUUUCUGUGUGAUUUAAUAAUUUAAAUGUUAUAUGAAAAUGAAAAA